GGGGCUGAAUGUGUUAACAGGAACAUUGACUGAUGGUAGGGGGUGGGGCUGGUUAAUAGUGUAUGAUUACGUUGUGGGGUGUAUGUGGUUUGUGUGCUCUUCUACAGGUGCAUUCAAUCGCCCCUAAAUGGCAGACCUGCGCAGUUGGUGGUUGAGAGAUUUAAAAGGCCAAUGGCGGCCUUUGACUGUGUGAUUCUUGGUAGCAGUAGGCACCCGCAAGGACUACCACCGAAGUCCGGAGAAGUAAAGGGGGCUCGGAAGACGCAACGCACAACGCACCUGGGGAGAGGCCAUAUAUCGUUCUAGCAGAGCGGUGUUCAGACCGGAAUACAACGCACUCAAUAUAUCCACGUUAAGGGAAUUCCGGAGACAGCUGAAUCGAGUGGAGGAAGACUGCGAAAGAGAGGCCUACAACGCACUCUAUGUAUUGCACUAAAGGGAAGUACUCAUAUCGUAGCCUACCACUAUUUGUGCGAGUGGCCUAAAUUUCGUGUCAGUGUGAUUGCUGAUCACUGUUCCUCCCCUUCCGCAGCUCUGUUCGUGUCUGCGAAGAGGCGUGUGGGUCGUGAAAGCGAGUGCGUGCCAUAAGGAGAAGACUACUGGGAGUGUCGGGUCUGAACUGUUCACCGCGGCGACCAUUGAGUAGGCUAGCUAGCUUCGAGCGCUAGCAGCUACUACGUGGAGAAGUAAAUCGCUGGGUCGUGAGUGGUGCAUGGACUGUUCCUCUAUAGCCCUUAUUAGCCUUUUCCUUGUACGAGCUAAAUACUACCAGUUGUCUAGCCUUAUUAUUAUGUCCGGCUGCCCAUGGUGCUAGAUAGGCCUGCUAUGUGAUCCUAAAUCUGGUGAUUGUCUUAUCGCUGUUAAGUGCUCUAUGUCUCUGUGGGCCUAUUGCCCGUUUUGUCUGAGUGUCGCCGUAGCUUAAGUUUGCUGUGUUGCCGUGGUGUUCAGUGCUCUUAUGAUUCACCGUGAUACUGUUGGCUUGUAUGGCCCUUUACGUUUGCUGUGAGGAUUGAUAAUUGUGUGCUGUGUUACAUGAUAAUUGUGUGCUGUGUUAUAUGCCGUCACACCAUCAGGCAUACCCACAUUGUGUAGAGCAUUAUAGCCUGAGAUCUCCCUCCUCUAGAGGGCGCCAGAAUAUGGUAUUUACAUAUACCAGGCUACUGAUUUGUUUUGUAGUUUCAGUGCUUCCAUACUGGUCCUAUACUGUAAACAGGCUGUAAACUUACAUGGGCUAUUGAAUUGUUCUGUGGCCCUUCAGUUCUUUCAUACUGGUCUUAUACUACAAUUGGGUAGUGAGCUUCACAUAGGCUAUUGAUUCAAUUUGUGGCCCUCCAGCUCUUUCACACUGGUCCUAUACUUUUAAUUGCUGACAACUGGUAAUGUAUUCCUGUGUCGCGAACUGUUUGUGUCGUAUCUGAACCGCUCCAUUUUUAAGAUAAUUUAAUAAAACUGUUUUUU